rnacentral:rRNA from 1 species
CCUACGGGUGGCAGCAGUGGGGAAUAUUGGGCAAUGGACGCAAGUCUGACCCAGCAACGCCGCGUGAAGGAAGAAGGCUUUCGGGUUGUAAACUUCUUUUAGGGGGGACGGGCAGAAGAGGGUACCCUUUGAUUAACCCCCGGUUAACGCGGUGCCAGAAGCAGCGUUAAUCGGAGGGUGGCAAGCGUUUUCCGGAUUUACUGGGUGUAAAGGGCGGGCACCCGGAGAGACAAGUCAGUUGUGAAACCCACGGGCUCAACCCGUGAACUGCAUUUGAAACUGUAGAGCUUGAGUGUCGGAGAGGGUGGCGGAAUUCCAGGUGUAGGAGUGAAAUCCGUAGAUAUCUGGAGGAACACCAGUGGCGAAGGCGGCCACCUGGACGACAACUGACGCUGAGGUGCGAAAGCGUGGGUAGCAAACAGGAUUAGAUACCCUAGUAGUC